CUCUAAUUUUUAUUAUUUCCCUUCUUCUGCUGACUUUGGGCUUUGUUUGUUCUUCUUUUUCUAGUUCCGUUAGGUGUAGUUUAAGAUUGCUUAUUUGAGAUUUUUCUUGUUUGUUAAGGUGGGCCUGUGUUGCUAUGAAUUUCUCUCAUAUGACUACUUUUGCUGCAUCCCAUAUGAAUUGGUAUGGUAUAUUUCCAUUUUCACUUGUCUCCAGAUAUUUUUUGAUUUCUCCUUUAAUUUCUUCAAUGAUCCAUUGGUUGUUCGGUAGCAUGUUGUUUAGUCUCCACACAUUUGUCACUUUCCCAGCUUUUAUCUUGCACUUGAUUUCUAGUUUGAUAGCAUUAUGGUCAGAAAAGAUGCUUGAUAUGAUUUCAAUCUUCUUCAAUUUAUUGAGGCUUGCCUUGUUUCCCAACAUAUGGUCUACCUUUGAGAAUGUUCCAUGUCCACUUCAGAAGAAUGUGUAUUUUGCUGUUUUUGGAUGGAGUGUUCUAUACAUAUCUAUUAAGUUCACCUGCUCUAGUUUUUCAUUUAAUUCCACUAUUUACUUGUUGACUUUCUGUCUGGAUGAUCUAUCCAUUCAUGUAAGUGGGGUGUUGAGGUCCCCUACUAUUAUUGUGUUGCUUUUAAUAUCUCCUUUUAGGUCUGUUAAUAGUUGUUUUAUGUAUUUUGGUGCUUCUCUGUUGGGUGCAUAGAUAUUUAUAAGUGUUAUGUCCUCUUGAUGGAGUGUCCCUUUUAUCAUUAUAUACUGCUCCCCUUUGUCUCUCAUUGCCUUUUUUUUUUUUUAAGAUUUUAUUUUUUCCUUUUUCUCCCCAAAGCCCCCCCAGUACAUAGUUGUAUAUUCUUUGUUGUGGGUCCUUCUAGUUGUGGCAUGUGGGACGCUGCCCCAGCGUGGUCCGACGAGCAGUGCCAUGUCCGCGCCCAGGAUUCGAACUAACGAAACACUGGGCCGCCUGCAGUGGAGCGCGCGAACUUAACCACUCCGCCACGGGGCCAGCCCCUCUCAUUGCCUUUUUUAUCUUGAAGUCUACUUUGUCUGAUAUAAGUAUGGCAACACCUGCUUUCUUUUGUUUGCCAUUAGUUUGGAGUAUAGUCUUCCAACCCUUCACUCUGAGCCUGUGUUUGUCUUUAGAGCUGAGAUGUUUUUCCUGGAGGCAGCAUAUUGUUGAUCUUGUUUUUUAAUCCACCCAGCCACUCUGUGUGUUUUGUUGUUGUUGUUGUUGUUGUUGUUUCUGUGAGGAAGAUUGGCCCUGAGCUAAAAUCUGUUCCAAUGUUCCUCUAUUUUGUAUGUGGGAUGCUGUUACAGCAUGGCUUGAUGAGCAGCGUGCAGGUCCAGGCCCAAGAUCUGAACCUGCGAACCCUGGGGCACUGAAGCAGAACGCACAAACCCAACCACUAUGCUGCUAGACUGGCCCUCACUCUGUCUCUUUUGAUUGGAUAAUUCAAUCCAUUUACAUUUAGAGCGAUUAUUGACAUAUGAGGGCUUAAUACUGCCAUUUUAUCACUUGUUUUUCAGCUGUUCUGUAUUUCCCUUGUUUCUCAUCCCAUGUAUUUCCGACUGCCAAUUCAGUUUGGUAGUUCUUUAUGAUGGUUUUCUCAGUAUUUAUCAUUUGUGUCUCUGUUCUGAUUUUUGUUUAGUGGUUACUGUGAUGUUUGUAUAAAAGAUCUCAUUGAUGAGAUAGUCCCUUUUCUGAUAGCCUCUUUCCUUAGUCUAAGCAGCUUCCAUCCCUUUCCUCUUCCCUGUCUAAGUUAUUGUUGUCACAACUUAUUCCAUUUUGUGUUGUGAGUUUGUGGUUAAAAUGAAGUGAUUAUAGUUAUUUUUAAUGUUUUCCUUCCCUUUACCUUUAAUAUUUUCACUGGAUAGAGUAUUCUUGGCUGAAAGUUUUUGUCUUUUGGAAUUUAGAAUAUAUCAUUCUACUAUAUUCCACUCUCUCCUAGCCUGUAAGCUUUCUGCUGAGAAAUCUGCUGAAAGCCUGAUGGGGUUCCUUUGAAGGCUAUUUUCUUCUGUGUUGCUACCCUUAAUAUUUUUUCUUUGUUUUUGACUUUUGUCAGUUUUACUAAUAUAUGCCUUGGAGAAGGUCUUUUUACAUUGAUGUAUUUAGGAGUUCUUUUAGCUUCUUUUACUUGUAAUUCCAGGUCUUUCCCCAGGUUUGGGAAGUUCUCAGCUAUUAUUUCUUUGAAGAAGCUCUCUGCUCCUUUCUCCAUCUCUUCUCCCUCUUGAAUACCUAUAAUCCUUAUGUUGCAUUUCCUAAUUGAGUCAGAUAUUUCUCGGAGAGUUUCUUCAUUUCUUUUUAGUCUUAGUUCUCUCUCCUCCUCCAUCUGAGGCAUUUCUAUAUUUCUGCCCUCUAAAUUGCUAAUUCUGUCCUCCAUAAUAUCAGUUCCAUUAUUUAAGGACUCUAGAUUUUUCUUUAUCUCAUUCAUUGUGUUUUUCAUCUCCAACAUUUCUGAUUGUUUUUUUUAAUGGUUUCAAUGUCUUUUGUGAAGAAUUCCGUCUGUUCAUUAAUUUUCCUGAUUUCAUUGAACUGUCUUUCUGAGUUUUCUUGUAAUUUGUUUUUUUAAUGAUAGCUAUUUUGAAUUCUCUGUCAUUUAGAUUAUAAAUUUCUGUGCCUUCAGGAUUGAUUUCUGGGUACUUGUCAUUUUCCUUCUGGUCUGGAGUGUUACUAUACCUCUUCAUACUAUUUGAUGAGGUGGAUUUGUGCUUUCGCAUAUGGUAGUAUCUGGUCACGGGUUCCACCUGCCACCACAGGGGCGGGUCAGGAGCUAUGUAUUCUGAGCCUACCAAGAUCCCUGGCAGCUGUGCCUGUCCUUUGGAAGCUAUGCUGACAGAGUCUGUCUGUGUUUGCUGGCUUGCUGCUGUUGUUUUAUAAACAUAUGUGCUAGUGCUUUGGUGGGGGCCCCUCGCUCUGGUCGACUGGCCAAGCUGGUGCAACAGGCAGGGGGAUGGGUGCUUUGUUUUGCAUGCAUGAUCCCAGGGGCACUUCCACUCUGCACUCACUCUUUGCCCUCCUAAGGUGCUCAUCUUGGUGAAGAUGCCCCUGUGAUUGCUUAGCCUCUUCAGUGUGGAGCUUCCCCACAGACUGCUUUGAGCUGAGGAGGAAUUUUCUAGCUGGUACCUUCCUGAAGAAAGUGAAGCACAAGCUAGACUCCUUCUCCAACAAAAAUAACCCAGAAGUUUGGUGCCUGAGGAUUGUUAAAGCCAAGGGCUACACUGCCCACCCUUCUCCACCAUCCCCUGAUAGAAUCAAUGCUCAGAGUAACCUUGGAAGCCAUGUUUUGGAGAUUUUAGAGCCUUCUUCAACCUGAAGUCCUGAAUGACUAUGAGAACAGAGGCCCCCAUCGCCAACUCCCUGUACUAACUGUACUUUUUACGAUCAAGAAAUAAACUUCUGUCUUGCUAAACUACUAA
rnacentral:lncRNA from 1 species